rnacentral:misc_RNA from 1 species
GGACCUCAUUGUAGGGCUGUUUUUCCUUUUCUGAAUUCCCCAAUUCAUGUGCUACAAUUUGCAACUUCUGGUGCCAAACUUGCUGUAGGUUUUGAAUGUGGUAGGGUGAGUAUCAUCCAUCUUUUAUUCAUGCUUGUUUCCCAAUUACUUUUCUGCUAAAUUUUCAUGUGAUUUUAGCUUUCCUUGUUCAGAUGGAUUUUAAAUUUGAUGUUUCUAUUUCACAUGGCAGUGCUUGACAUGAAUUCAUUAUCAGUUCUCUUCUUACGGACUGUGUAUCGAGUUCCUUUUCUCCUGUCAUUUCAGAUAGCUAGACAAUUUGUGAAAAUAUUGGUAUUCUUGUAAAAAGUCAAAAGCAAUUAACAUUUUAGCGAACCCCUGUGGAGGAAGUCAUGUUUUUCUUAACC